rnacentral:rRNA from 1 species
ACACAUGCAAGUCGAACGAGAAGAGAUGAGAAGCUUGCUUCUUAUCGAUUCGAGUGGCAAACGGGUGAGUAACGCGUAAGCAACCUGCCCUCUAGAUGGGGACAACAGCUGGAAACGGCUGCUAAUACCGAAUACGUUCUUUCUGCCGCAUGGCAGAAGGAAGAAAGGGAGGCUCUUCGGAGCUUUCGCUGGAGGAGGGGCUUGCGUCUGAUUAGCUAGUUGGAGGGGUAACGGCCCACCAAGGCGACGAUCAGUAGCCGGUCUGAGAGGAUGAACGGCCACAUUGGGACUGAGACACGGCCCAGACUCCUACGGGAGGCAGCAGUGGGGAAUCUUCCGCAAUGGACGAAAGUCUGACGGAGCAACGCCGCGUGAACGAUGACGGCCUUCGGGUUGUAAAGUUCUGUUAUACGGGACGAAUGGUACGACGGUCAAUACCCGUCGUAAGUGACGGUACCGUAAGAGAAAGCCACGGCUAACUACGUGCCAGCAGCCGCGGUAAUACGUAGGUGGCAAGCGUUGUCCGGAAUUAUUGGGCGUAAAGGGCGCGCAGGCGGCGUCGUAAGUCGGUCUUAAAAGUGCGGGGCUUAACCCCGUGAGGGGACCGAAACUGCGAUGCUAGAGUAUCGGAGAGGAAAGCGGAAUUCCUAGUGUAGCGGUGAAAUGCGUAGAUAUUAGGAGGAACACCAGUGGCGAAAGCGGCUUUCUGGACGACAACUGACGCUGAG